UAGGGAAUAUUGGUCAAUGGGCGAGGGCCUGAACCAGCCAUGCCGCGUGCAGGAAGACGGCCUUCUGGGUUGUAAACUGCUUUUAUACAGGAAUAAAAAGGCGCUGCGGCGCAGAUUGCAUGUACUGUAUGAAUAAGCACCGGCUAACUCCGUGCCAGCAGCCGCGGUAAUACGGAGGGUGCAAGCGUUGUCCGGAUUUAUUGGGUUUAAAGGGUGCGUAGGCGGGUAUUUAAGUCAGUGGUGAAAACCCUGAGCUCAACUGAGGGCUUGCCAUUCAUACUGGGUGCCUUGAUUACCGUAUAGGUAGGCGGAAUUUAUGGUGUAGCGGUGAAAUGCAUAGAUACCAUAAAGAACACCGAUAGCGAAGGCAGCUUACUGGACGGUAAAUGACGCUGAUGCACGAAAGCGUGGGUAGCGAACGGGAUUAGAUACCCCCGUAGUCC
rnacentral:rRNA from 1 species